AGAGUUUGAUCCUGGCUCAGGACGAACGCUGGCGGCACGCUUAACACAUGCAAGUCGAACGAGAGAAGAGGAGCUUGCUUUUCUGAUCUAGUGGCGGACGGGUGAGUAACACGUGAGCAAUCUGCCUUUCAGAGGGGGAUACCGAUUGGAAACGAUCGUUAAUACCGCAUAACAUAAUUGAACCGCAUGAUUUGAUUAUCAAAGAUUUAUCGCUGAAAGAUGAGCUCGCGUCUGAUUAGCUAGUUGGUAAGGUAACGGCUUACCAAGGCGACGAUCAGUAGCCGGACUGAGAGGUUGAUCGGCCACAUUGGGACUGAGACACGGCCCAGACUCCUACGGGAGGCAGCAGUGGGGAAUAUUGCACAAUGGAGGAAACUCUGAUGCAGCGAUGCCGCGUGAGGGAAGAAGGUUUUAGGAUUGUAAACCUCUGUCUUCAGGGACGAAAAAAGACGGUACCUGAGGAGGAAGCUCCGGCUAACUACGUGCCAGCAGCCGCGGUAAUACGUAGGGAGCGAGCGUUGUCCGGAAUUACUGGGUGUAAAGGGAGCGUAGGCGGGAUCGCAAGUCAGAUGUGAAAACUAUGGGCUUAACCCAUAAACUGCAUUUGAAACUGUGGUUCUUGAGUGAAGUAGAGGUAAGCGGAAUUCCUAGUGUAGCGGUGAAAUGCGUAGAUAUUAGGAGGAACAUCAGUGGCGAAGGCGGCUUACUGGGCUUUAACUGACGCUGAGGCUCGAAAGCGUGGGGAGCAAACAGGAUUAGAUACCCUGGUAGUCCACGCCGUAAACGAUGAUUACUAGGUGUGGGGGGACUGACCCCUUCCGUGCCGCAGCAAACGCAAUAAGUAAUCCACCUGGGAGUACGACCGCAAGGUUGAAACUCAAAGGAAUUGACGGGGGCCCGCACAAGCAGUGGAGUAUGUGGAUUAAUUCGAAGCAACGCGAAGAACCUUACCAGGUCUUGACAUCGUAUGCAUAGCUCAGAGAUGAGUGAAAUCUCUUCGGAGACAUAUAGACAGGUGGUGCAUGGUUGUCGUCAGCUCGUGUCGUGAGAUGUUGGGUUAAGUCCCGCAACGAGCGCAACCCUUACUGUUAGUUGCUACGCAAGAGCACUCUAGCAGGACUGCCGUUGACAAAACGGAGGAAGGUGGGGAUGACGUCAAAUCAUCAUGCCCCUUAUGACCUGGGCCUCACACGUACUACAAUGGCUGUCAACAGAGGGAAGCAAAGCCGCGAGGUGGAGCGAACCCCUAAAAGCAGUCUUAGUUCGGAUUGUAGGCUGCAACCCGCCUACAUGAAGUCGGAAUUGCUAGUAAUCGCAGAUCAGCAUGCUGCGGUGAAUACGUUCCCGGGCCUUGUACACACCGCCCGUCACGCCAUGGGAGUCGGUAACACCCGAAGCCUGUAGUCUAACCGCAAGGAGGACGCAGUCGAAGGUGGGAUUGAUGACUGGGGUGAAGUCGGAACAAGGUA
rnacentral:rRNA from 1 species